rnacentral:rRNA from 1 species
CGUGCUUAACACAUGCAAGUCGAACGAUGAUGCUCCAGCUUGCUGGGGUGGAUUAGUGGCGAACGGGUGAGUAACACGUGAGUAACCUGCCCUUCACUUUGGGAUAAGCCUUGGAAACGGGGUCUAAUACCGGGUAUACACAUUCUGCCGCAUGGUGGUGUGUGGAAAGCUUUUGUGGUGAGGGAUGGACUCGCGGCCUAUCAGCUUGAUGGUGGGGUAGUGGCCUACCAUGGCUUUGACGGGUAGCCGGCCUGAGAGGGUGACCGGCCACACUGGGACUGAGACACGGCCCAGACUCCUACGGGAGGCAGCAGUGGGGAAUAUUGCACAAUGGGCGGAAGCCUGAUGCAGCGACGCCGCGUGGGGGAUGAAGGCUUUCGGGUCGUAAACUCCUUUCAGCAGGGACGAAGCUUUUUGUGACGGUACCUGCAGAAGAAGCACCGGCUAACUACGUGCCAGCAGCCGCGGUAAUACGUAGGGUGCGAGCGUUGUCCGGAAUUAUUGGGCGUAAAGAGCUUGUAGGCGGUUUGUCGCGUCUGCCGUGAAAGCCCAGGGCUUAACCCUGGGUCUGCGGUGGGUACGGGCAGACUAGAGUGUGGUAGGGGAGACUGGAAUUCCUGGUGUAGCGGUGAAAUGCGCAGAUAUCAGGAGGAACACCGAUGGCGAAGGCAGGUCUCUGGGCCACUACUGACGCUGAGAAGCGAAAGCAUGGGGAGCAAACAGGAUUAGAUACCCUGGUAGUCCAUGCCGUAAACGUUGGGAACUAGGUGUG